UCGGUGUCGGAGGGGGCACCGAUGGGGUAGCUGAGUGGUUAAGCCCUCAGGCGAAAGAAAGAUGUCGUGAAGCCCCUGGAGGAAAGGUGGGGGCUUAAAUAGGCAACGGAGCCUGGCGCAGUUAUGGUGGCAGGUGUCCCUAGGCCGAUCGAUGCUCCCCACGUGUCCCGCAUGUCCCACUCACGGUGCUGAUGGUAUCUCUCCGAACUUCUCCAACAGUCGGAUUUCCACGGU
rnacentral:lncRNA from 1 species